rnacentral:rRNA from 1 species
AGAGAGAUUAUUCUGAGCUCGCUCUGAUGACCUCUCCUCCCUUUGUUCACCAGCGGGUACCUGCGGCGCCGCCUCGGAGACGACGGCGUUGGCCGUUGGCGGCACCUGGUGGAGCCGGCAGGUCAGAGGGCGGAUUGGAGGCCCGCCACCGGGCGGCGCGAGAAGUAGUAGCCAUGUCGUUCCGUUGUCGUUCCGUUAGCCGGCGUGAGAGCAGAGCUAGGAGAAACUGGGCCCACAGCAGCCAUGGCGUCCCCACCUCUAGAGUCUCGCCAAGCGGAUGCCGCCGUAGCGUCCCUUGGAGUAGUGGAUGGACUGGCCGGGCGACCCCGUCAGGUGCCGCAGCCGGCGGCGCCGGUAGUUGCGGACCUCGCCGCGGCGUGAAGACGACGGCAACGAGCCUCGGCGGCAGCGGCUAAGGACCGAGCCGGCAAUGGCGUGACAUCAUACGCGGAGGGACGAGAUAUAGGACCCGGACCCGUACGAGUGUGAUAGUAGUUAAGAACGCGGUGUUGUUGGUCGUGUUAAACCUCUAGUGUACCUAAGGCGAAAUAGGAGCUGAAGUUGUUAAGUAAAUCGAAAGAAGAUGCACAGGGACAUAUAACACCGGAAACGAGUUCCACCGGUGUUUGGAACACACGUUCGUAAACCCCGUCUGGUUAAACUACUCUUGCUAGGACUUCUUAAACGGAGCUCUUCAAGGAAGAAGUUAACCACCAUAAAACCCUGCAUACGUCCGUCGCAACAAUGUCAAAGUUAGGACUUAAUGUAAGUUCUAUUGUAUUCGACCGUCAAACCCAAACCUUAGGGAACGUAGCAAUACUGGGAAAGAGAACGUCAAAAGACCGAACCCUGGUCCUGAAUAGCUAAAAUAGGACAUUCUUCACUACCUUCGGAUUAACCUGUCCAACAGUUUGUGUAAAAUAGUAACCAAUCUUGGACCGUACGUAGUACCUCAAGCCCCAGUAGACUACUAAGGGUGACGUACGGUUGUAGCAGUAGAUCGUCUGAGUUCCUAUUACGUCUUUACUGUACAAAGGGACUACUUCGGUUCAGAGACGAAUUUAACAAAGGUUAUCCCCGUUGGACGGACUAGAUACGUCAACAAAAACGGGUCACCUACUGCGACAAGUGAUUUGUUCGUUCAUGUGAUCUAUCCACCUAUCCAUCGAAUGUCCAUGGUCGACGACGAGAUGUUUCGGAUUAGUCACACAGUUAGCAGUAGAGCUAAGGAUAUAUACUGGCCUAUGAACAAGGUGAUCGAUCUUUUAUGAGUUUCUUGGGAACACCAUAGUGUUGGAACGUUUCCUAACCUUGACCUGAUCGGUACAGACACUAGAACUACCAACAGCGCCGGUAGCACCUCUACUCUUCCGAGUCCCAUCGUUCUCUUGUACCGGAACACCUGUUAGGGCUUCGUUGCUAAGGCUACUCGAAAACCACCCACCAUGGAGUCAAGCAGGACUGACCGAACCGCCUGUACAAGUGGUACCAGCCGAACGUCCUCAAGAAGAUGCUGGUUCACGGCCUAUCGGACGCGUCAAACCCGGAACGGAAUAUGAACUCGUAUAAGCCUUAACCCUCGAAGUAGUCACCGAAAGACCACAUACGUUAGCUGGCCCAUUGGUCACUGCCACCUCUAGCAACCAAGAGCUUGUUAGAUUUGGCUCCAGUAGAACUAAUGAAAAUGACCGAAGACCGGCGCGAGUCGCAACAGCCCGACCGACGAAUGGAGGUGAAAAGUGUUCACAUACAGGGGUUCUUCUUCCCGUAAAGUCGUCUUACUACCAUACGCGGUUCACUGACGGUUGACUCUACGGACUUUAGGUACUUAGGUACAGACGGUUGACCAUACGCUUCGAAAGAGAUCCGACAACAUGAAGCAUUUAUCCGCUGCAGUGGUGACAUUCGACACCGCUAAAGUGUCACACUAACAAAAAAAAAAAAAACUCCGUAGUGUCACACUAACAACUCAGGCCUUCAAAAGUGACGCGCAGUCACAGGACUCCACACUACAGCCAAACGUUCGGGUUGACAACAUGAUUCGCCGGCACUUUAGUUAAAUAUCGAUUACAAUCUCAUCAGUAAUACCAUAUGCUGAAGAUCAGGUUCAGUCAAAACAUAGGGAUGGGGUUCAGCCAAACAUGGGAGAAUAUAUGAGAACAUACGGCGUAGUUUAGUAGUUAUUCGUUGUCAAAAUAAGU